AAUCACACUUGCUUCAAAUAUUAUGCAAAGUCAAGCCGAAAAGAGUAAGCAAGUCAUACAAUCUUGAUCGAGAGGCAUAUGCGUGGUAAAUGGAUGGUGUGUGAGAUAAAAUGUGAAAACUACUUUUUGUAGGCUCUCUCUCCUCUCUUUUAUUUAGACAUGGCUAUCUCUCUCUUUUGUUUCAGCAUGCAUGAGCAUGUCUACUUACCUUUCUCCUUUUUUUCUUUUCUUUUUUGCAUAGCCCUUAAUUUGAUAUGUUGUCCAUCUCGCAAGUAAUGUAUGGGAAGUAAAGCAUCUCCAUACUCUUGCCCGUUCCUCAAGGAACCCAUGUGAAGGAAAAGCACACAAGGACACAAGGCACUAGAACUAGCUAGAUUACUUGCAGGCCGUCCAAACUACCACUAUCACUGUGUCGCUCUCUCCACAGCAAAGCAGUUUUCUUGGAAGAAACACGAGGAAAUUUCCUUGCAGCAAAGCACCGGCAUUUGGUGGCGAUUAUCAAGAGUGUACCUUGAACUUCGUGAGCACAAAUCAUUUACUAAGAUCAUAUAUCUUUCAAUCUCGGAGCUUGGAAGUAGCUUAUUCUUGCUUUUGGUGAAUAAUAAUGCCGGACCAAGAUCGGAAGCAUCUAUCUCGCUCCAACCUCAUCUACGUAUCUGCAUGAUCAAGCAGAUCGAAGAGACUGAUUUUCUAUUACCAACAAUAUGCAACUAAGGCUGAGAUUGGUUAAGCUAUGGAAUGAGUGGGAAAUCAGGGUGCCUGUGCUUCUCAGUUUCUUGCUGCAACUCUUCCUCUUUUUUA